rnacentral:snoRNA from 2 species
AUCCCAGAUAAGCUUCAGUUUGAAGUGCUUAUUCUGAUUCAUGGGAGGCCGAAAUUGAAUCCUGGAAGUUUCGCUGAUAAAUGCCUAUUUCUGAUUCUUAUAUCAAGGCGUUUACUAGUAACUUUACCAUACAAAU